rnacentral:rRNA from 1 species
UACGAAGGGGGCUAGCGUUGCUCGGAAUCACUGGGCGUAAAGGGUGCGUAGGCGGGUCUUUAAGUCAGGGGUGAAAUCCUGGAGCUCAACUCCAGAACUGCCUUUGAAACUGUACGCUUGAGGCCGGGAGGGGGUAGCGGAAUUCCCAGUGUAGCGGUGAAAUGCGUAGAUAUUGGGAGGAACACCAGUGGCGAAGGCGGCUACCUGGACCGGUUCUGACGCUGAGGCGCGAAAGCGUGGGUAGCAAACAGGG